AAUCUUUUUAUUGUUCUUAAAGGGCACCUCAGCAGGUCUAGCGAAUUUGAGCCGAAGUGAGUAGUGCACACAAUGUGCGCUCACGAUCGUGUCUGCUAAGUAUUCCAUCCCUAGCGCUGCGGAAAGCCUCAAUUUCAAACCAAAGGCCAUUUGCCCUUCUCGUCGCGGGCGCCACGCUUCCAGCCGGAGAGUCGACGCAAAUGCUGCAUGCA
rnacentral:lncRNA from 1 species